rnacentral:rRNA from 1 species
GAGACAGCAGCAGCCACGGUAAUACGAAGGGUGCAAGCGUUACUCGGAAUUACAGGGCGUAAAGCGUGUGUAGGUGGUUGUUUAAGUCUGUCGUGAAAGCCCUGGGCUCAACCUGGGAAUUGCGAUGGAUACUGGGCGACUAGAGUGCGGUAGAGGAUAGUGGAAUUUCCGGUGUAGCAGUGAAAUGCGUAGAGAUCGGAAGGAACAUCUGUGGCGAAGGCGACUAUCUGGGCCAACACUGACACUGAGACACGAAAGCGUGGGGAGCAGACAGGAUUAGAUACCCGUGUAGUCCCUGUCUCUUAUAA